rnacentral:rRNA from 1 species
CCGGCGAUUUCCGAAUGGGGAAACCCAGUGUGUUUCGACACACUAUCAUUAACUGAAUCCAUAGGUUAAUGAGGCGAACCGGGGGAACUGAAACAUCUAAGUACCCCGAGGAAAAGAAAUCAACCGAGAUUCCCCCAGUAGCGGCGAGCGAACGGGGAGGAGCCCAGAGCCUGAAUCAGUGUGUGUGUUAGUGGAAGCGUCUGGAAAGGCGCGCGAUACAGGGUGACAGCCCCGUACACAAAAAUGCACAUAUUGUGAGCUCGAUGAGUAGGGCGGGACACGUGGUAUCCUGUCUGAAUAUGGGGGGACCAUCCUCCAAGGCUAAAUACUCCUGACUGACCGAUAGUGAACCAGUACCGUGAGGGAAAGGCGAAAAGAACCCCGGCGAGGGGAGUGAAAAAGAACCUGAAA